rnacentral:rRNA from 1 species
AUUGAACGCUGGCGGCAGGCCUAACACAUGCAAGUCGAGCGGAGCGGCGGACGGGUGAGUAAUGCCUAGGAAUCUGCCUGGUAGUGGGGGAUAACGUCCGGCAACGGGCGCUAAUACCGCAUACUAUCAGAUGAGCCUAGGUCGGAUUAGCUAGUUGGUGAGGUAAUGGCGUACCAAGGCGACGAUCCGUAACUGGUCUGAGAGGAUGAUCAGUCACACUGGAACGGAGACACGGUCCAGACUCCUACGGGAGGCAGCAGUGGGGAAUAUUGGACAAUGGGCGAAAGCCUGAUCCAGCCAUGCCGCGUGUGUGAAGAAGGUCUUCGGAUUGUAAAGCACUUUAAGUUGGGAGGCGUUACCGACAGAAUAAGCACCGGCUAACUUCGUGCCAGCAGCCGCGGUAAUAC